ACGGAGGCCUGCUCCCCCUGGGGGAGGGCAGGCUGGAUCCCUCUCCACCCUGCCCGCUCACCCAGCCCAAGCCUGCACCUAGCUCUACACCUGCCUGUUGAAUGAAUGGACGCCAUGGGGGAGUGUGGCCCUUAUGAGGAAUAAUCACGGCAAGGACAACGAAAGGAAAAAAACCUGUCUGACAGAGGAGACCCUACACACGCGCAGAAAGUCUCCUUGGAGUCAAGAAAGAAAGUAGAAAAGAAUUAGUCACUCAGUCGUGCCUGACUCUUAGCGACCCCAUGGACUGUAGCCCGCCAGGCUCCUCUGUCCAUGGAAUUCUCCAGGCAAGAAUACUGGAGUGGGUUGCCAUUUCCUUCGCCAGGAGAUCUUUCCAACCCAGGGCCACCAGACCUUCUUCAAUCAUCCCAGGCAAAGGGUUCAAGGACCACGUGGAUGAGAGGUGCUGACUGGUUCAGACUAGCUCUGCUUUGCAACCUCUGACCCCAAGAGCAUCAGUUUCCUCACCUGUGCAGUGAAGUAAGGGAUUGAUCCUCACUGCUGAGCUGGGCAGAGGUUUAAGUGAGCCACUCACUCUGGUUCAGACAUGAGGACAAGAAUGUGGUGGACAUUCAACACACACAUUUUCUACAGGUCUUGUCCCUGCUGCAAAUGAAAUGAGAAGAUAUUCAUGUAAGGACACACACCAUGACAAAAGCAAAAUGACAAGGAAGCACCAAACCAAAAGCAAAGUUGUGUCGUCAUUCUUGUUGACUCCAGACCUGCCACCUCUCUAACUUCCACCGUCAUUCCUUACCGUUACAUCAUGUGUUUGUGCUUCUGGGUCUUGAUCCAUCAUCUUUUGACAUCACUUCUGAUUGGGGAGAAUAUACACGGCUCCAUCUUCCCAUCACUCUUCUCUGCCUUGGAAGUGGUAUCACUGUUCUCAGACCCUCAACUCGGCCCCGCCUUCAGCUUUAAUUCCCUUUUUCACUCUGCCAACCCUGAAUAUCUCCCUUGGCUCCCAUGUUUAUAAAAGGAGGACUCAACCUCCCCUGUGUUUCUCCCCGCCGGACCACCUGCCCUGAAGGUCCAGAUUUUCAUUUUACAUUUCAGAGCAAGUAUUCUGCGGUUUAAACACCCACCACUUCCUGCAGUGUACAGUGGAAUAUGACUCAGCCAGAAAAAGGAAAGAAAUUGUACAAUCUACAGUGAUAUGAGCGGACCUAGAGUCUGUUAUACAGAGUGAAGUAAGUCAGAAAGAGAAAAACAAAUAUAUUAAUAAAUAUAUACGGAAUCUAGAAAAAGGAUACAAGUGAACCUCUUUGCAGGACAGGAAUAGAGACACAGUCGUAGAGAAUGAACAUGUGGACACAGUGGGGAAGGGGGAGUGGGGCGAACUGGGAGAGUAACAAUGGCAUGUAUGACAUCUGUAUGUAUGAUAGAUGGCCGGUGGAAAACCUCUGUGUAGCACAGGAGCUCAGCGCUGUACUCUGUGAUAACCUAGA